AGCGAACGUUUGCGGCGGGCCUAACACAUGCAAGUCGAACGGGCUAGCAAUAGUCAGUGGCGCACGGGUGCGUAACACGUGGGUAAUCAACCCUUCAGCUCGGGAUAACGCCUUGAAAGGGGCGCUAAUACCGGAUACGACGCGAGGAGCUUCGGCUGCUUGCGGGAAAGAUUCGCAAGGAUCUCUGAAGGACGAGCCUGCGGCCCAUCAGCUAGUUGGUGAGGUAAGAGCUCACCAAGGCGAAGACGGGUAGCUGGUCUGAGAGGAUGAUCAGCCACACUGGAACUGAGACACGGUCCAGACUCCUACGGGAGGCAGCAGUGGGGAAUAUUGCGCAAUGGGCGAAAGCCUGACGCAGCCACGCCGCGUGAGCGAUGAAGGCCUUCGGUCGUAAGACUCUGUGGGAGGAGAAGAAUAAAGACCUGUGAAGAAUAGGGCCGUUGACGGUAGUCUCCUUAGU
rnacentral:rRNA from 1 species